rnacentral:rRNA from 1 species
GAUGAACGCUAGCGAUAGGCUUAACACAUGCAAGUCGAGGGGCAGCAUAUUCGAAGCUUGCUUUGAAUGAUGGCGACCGGCGCACGGGUGCGUAACGCGUAUGUAACCUGCCUGUCAGAAGGGAAUAACCCGGUGAAAGUCGGACUAAUACCCUAUAUGCGCACGAGAGGCGCCUGCCCUGGUGAGGAAAGAUUUAUCACUGACAGAUGGACAUGCGUCCCAUUAGCUUGUUGGUAGGGUAACGGCCUACCAAGGCAACGACGGGUAGGGGAACUGAGAGGUUUAUCCCCCACAUUGGUACUGAGACACGGACCAA